AAAACCACUAAGUUUUUUUUUACUUUUUAAGCUGAAAAAUUAAUUUUAUUUGGUGGAGAAGGUAGAGUGGUAGUUUGACUGGGGCGGUUGCCUCCUAAAAAGUAACGGAGGUGUACAUAAGGUUUUUUAAAAUUAUCGUUUUGAUAAUGAUAAAUUUUAAUAAAAUAAAACUUGAUUAGUAUACUUACAAGUAAACUAAGGACUAAAUAGUCUGUUAUAUUGACCCGGUAAUUUUUUGUGAAAAAAUUAUCGAUUAACGGAUAAAAGGUACGCUAGGGAUAACAGGCUGAUGAGUUCUAAGAGGUCAUAUCGACGAACUCGUUUGGCACCUCGAUGUCGGCUCAUCACAUCCUGGUGGUGCACAAUCUACCAAGGGUUCGGCUGUUCGCCGAUUAAAGUGGUACGUGAGCUGGGUUUAGAACGUCGUGAGACAGUUUGGUCCCUAUCUACUGUACUUAUUAAAAAACCAAUAGGUUCUUACUUCAGUACGAGAGG
rnacentral:rRNA from 1 species